GUUAUACUCCCUUCGUCCCAAAAUUCUUGUCUUAGAUUUGUCUAAAUGCGGAUGUAUCAAGUCAUAUUUUAGUAUUAGAUACAUCCGUAUCUUGAUAAAUUUAAGACACGAAUUUUGGAAUGGAGGGAGUAUGCA
rfam:Triticum aestivum genome assembly, contig: Triticum_aestivum_CS42_TGACv1_scaffold_578374_7BL